UACGAAGGGAGCUAGCGUUGUUCGGAAUCACUGGGCGUAAAGCGCACGUAGGCGGAUUUGUCAGUCAGGGGUGAAAUCCCGGGGCUCAACCUCGGAACUGCCUUUGAUACAGCAAGUCUUGAGUUCGAGAGAGGUGGGUGGAAUUCCUAGUGUAGAGGUGAAAUUCGUAGAUAUUAGGAAGAACCCCGGUGGCGAAGGCGGCCCACUGGAUCGGUACUGACGCUGAGGUGCGAAAGCGUGGGGAGCAAACAGG
rnacentral:rRNA from 1 species